CCUACGGGAGGCAGCAGUGGGGAAUAUUGCACAAUGGGCGAAAGCCUGAUGCAGCAACGCCGCGUGAGCGAUGAAGGCCUUCGGGUCGUAAAGCUCUGUCCUCAAGGAAGAUAAUGACGGUACUUGAGGAGGAAGCCCCGGCUAACUACGUGCCAGCAGCCGCGGUAAUACGUAGGGGGCUAGCGUUAUCCGGAAUUACUGGGCGUAAAGGGUGCGUAGGUGGGUUCUUAAGUCAGAGGUGAAAGCCCGUGGCUUAACCGCGGAACGGCUUUGGAAACUGUGGAACUGGAGUGCUGGAGAGGCAAGCGGAAUUCCUAGUGUAGCGGUGAAAUGCGUAGAUAUUAGGAGGAACACCAGUGGCGAAGGCGGCUUGCUGGACAUUAACUGACGCUGAGGCACGAAGGCCAGGGGAGCGAAAGGGAUUAGAUACCCCAGUAGUC
rnacentral:rRNA from 1 species